GGCCGUGGGUGCUCUGGCCACAGCCUAAGGAAACGUGUCGUCUGGAAUGGGCUUGGGGGCCACGCCUGCACAUCUCCGCGAGACAGAGGGAUAAAGUGAAGAUGGUGCUGUUAUUGUUACCUCGAGUGCCACAUGCGACCUCUGAGAUAUGUACACAGUCAUUCUUACUAUCGCACUCAGCCAUUCUUACUACGCUAAAGAAGAAAUAAUUAUUCGAGGAUAUUUGCCUGGCCCAGAAGAAACUUAUGUAAAUUUCAUGAACUAUUAUAUCCGUUUUCCUCGGAGUGAGAGAAAACUCUUUUUAGAUAUCAUCUGAGAGGUAGUUAAUUUGGCACCAUGGGGAUACAGGGAUUGCUACAAUUUAUCAAAGAAGCUUCAGAACCCAUCCAUGUGAGGAAGUAUAAAGGGCAGGUAGUAGCUGUGGAUACAUAUUGCUGGCUUCACAAAGGAGCUAUUGCUUGUGCUGAAAAACUAGCCAAAGGUGAACCUACUGAUAGAAGACGACAAGCCAAUCUUCUUAAGGGAAAGCAACUUCUUCGUGAGGGGAAAGUCUCGGAAGCUCGAGAGUGUUUCACCCGGUCUAUCAAUAUCACACAUGCCAUGGCCCACAAAGUAAUUAAA
rnacentral:lncRNA from 1 species